rnacentral:rRNA from 1 species
GUUAGCGACAGAAGAAGCACCGGCUAACUCCGUGCCAGCAGCCGCGGUAAUACGGAGGGUGCGAGCGUUAAUCGGAAUUACUGGGCGUAAAGCGCAUGCAGGUGGUUUGUUAAGUCAGAUGUGAAAGCCCGGGGCUCAACCUCGGAAUAGCAUUUGAAACUGGCAGACUAGAGUACUGUAGAGGGGGGUAGGAAUUUCAGGUGUAGCGGUGAAAUGCGUAGAGAUCUGAAGGAAUACCGGUGGCGAAGGCGGCCCCCUCGGACAGAUACUGACACUCAGAUGCGAAAGCGUGGGGAGCAAACAGGAUUAGAUACCCUGGUAG